GGAUUUGUAGUGUAGUGGUUAUCACGUAUCGUUCACAUUUAUAUGAACAUCUCUCCGAUAAGGUCCCCGGUUCGAUCCCGGGCAAAUUCA
rnacentral:tRNA from 1 species